GGUUCGAUGGCGUAGUUGGUUAUCGCAUCUGUCUAACAUCCUCCAGAAUAUGAAUUUACACAGAAGGUCCCCGGUUCGAGCCCGGGUUAGGGACUA